CCGCUCAGAACGAACGCUGGCGGCGUGCCUAACACAUGCAAGUCGAACGUGAAAGGGAUUUCUCGGAUCCUGAGUAGAGUGGCGCACGGGUGAGUAACACGUGGAUAAUCUGCCUGAUAAUCUGAGAUAACAUUCCGAAAGGAAUGCUAAUACCGGAUAAGCCCACAGUAUCUUCGGAUGCAGCGGGAAAAGAUGGCCUCUUCUUGAAAGCUAUUGUUAUCAGAUGAGUCCGCGGUCCAUUAGCUAGUUGGUGGGGUAAUGGCCUACCAAGGCGACGAUGGAUAGCUGGUUUGAGAGAAUGAUCAGCCACACUGGAACUGAGACACGGUCCAGACUCCUACGGGAGGCAGCAGUGGGGAAUUUUGCGCAAUGGGCGAAAGCCUGACGCAGCAACGCCGCGUG
rnacentral:rRNA from 1 species